rnacentral:rRNA from 1 species
AAUGAACGUUGGCGGCGUGGAUUAGGCAUGCAAGUCGAGCGAGAACCCCGCAAGGGGGGCCAGCGGCGCAAGGGACAGUAAUGUGUAGAUUAUCUGCCCUCAGGUCCGGGAUAGCUGCGGGAAACUGCAGGUAAUACCGGAUAACAUCUCCGGAUCAAAGGUGUGAUUCCGCCUGAGGAUGAGUCUGCAUCCUAUUAGCUAGUUGGUGGGGUAAUGGCCUACCAAGGCAUUGAUGGGUAGCAGGUGUGAGAGCACGACCUGCGUCAUUGGGACUGAGACACUGCCCAGACACCUACGGGUGGCUGCAGUCGAGAAUCUUCGGCAAUGGGCGCAAGCCUGACCGAGCGACGCCGCGUGUGGGAUGAAGGCCUUCGGGUUGUAAACCACUGUCAGAGGGGAUGAAAUGCAGGUGGGUUCUCCCAUCUGUUUGACAUAGCCUCAGAGGAAGGACGGGCUAAGUUCGUG